AGCGAACGUUAGCGGCGGGCCUAACACAUGCAAGUCGAACGCGAAAGGUCUUCGGACUGAGUAGAGUGGCGCACGGGUGAGUAACACGUAGGUAAUCUACCCUUUGGCGGGGGAUAACGUUCCGAAAGGAGCGCUAAUACCGCAUAAGACCACGGAGUCUCCGGACGCUGUGGGAAAAGGUGGCCUCUUCUUGAAAGCUACCACCGAAGGAUGAGCCUGCGUCCCAUCAGCUAGUUGGUAAGGUAAUGGCUUACCAAGGCGAAGACGGGUAGCUGGUUUGAGAGAAUGAUCAGCCACACUGGCACUGGAACACGGGCCAGACUCCUACGGGAGGCAGCAGUGAGGAAUAUUGGGCAAUGGGCGAAAGCCUGACCCAGCCACGCCGCGUGAGUGAUGAAGGCCCUCGGGUCGUAAAGCUCUGUGGAGAGGGACGAAACCCUGGUUUCAAAUAGGCUCCAGGCUUGACGGUACCUCUUUAGCAAGCACCGGCUAACUCUGUGCCAGCAGCC
rnacentral:rRNA from 1 species